UCUGGUGGGCUUCCAGGACCAGCUGCUCCAAGAAGCAGUCAUUUAAGGAGUCAAGAAACUUUCUCUCCGCAUCCCAUCCUAAGUUUUUGUUAAAUAAA